rnacentral:snRNA from 1 species
GGAUGUGAGGGUGAUCUGGCUACCACAUUUGUCACUCCGUUGAUCCCCAGGGUUAAUUUGGUUGAUCUGGCUGGCUAGGCGGCGUCCCCUUCCUCCUCUGCCACUCUGUAUGCAUCUGCCUGCCAAGUUGCACAUUCAAAGAGGAUGACCUUCCCUGAUAGAGGAGGACUGUUCUUCCAUAAAGGGUAUACAAGUAGCUGUGCACCCGUGCUAGAACUAGAAUCUUCAGACAAGCUUUCAAAAUCCAUUUGUAGGAGAAUGUAGGGUAGUCGAGAUUCCAAGACUCCAUGACACAUCCAAAUAAGGUGCUGCAUGAAGCAGUCUGCCUUUCUUU